AAACCAAAGGAAACAAUAAGUAUGGUGGCCCUGGGAUGCAAAACACAACACAAAAAGAGAAAACACAUGGCAAAUCAGAGAACACAGCGACAUUAUGUGUUAUCUCUUUUUGCGUUGUGUUUUUCACCUCAGUGCCACCGUACUUGUUGUUUCUUUGGUG